rnacentral:tRNA from 1 species
CAGAAAAUAGUUUAUUGAAUAUUCACUUUGGGGGUGAAAGGAUUUAUUCUGA